CUGACCUCUGCACCCUUUUGCUCCCCACCUGUCCCAAAAAAGUGGAGCUAUAACUGUGGGAAAAGGGGAUCUGAAGUCAGACACAGGAUCCACAGUAGCCUGGGGACCUUUCUCACCCCCGCCCUUAAGCAGGCCCCAACAUAACCGGCUGAGAAACCUCCUCUGCCAGAUCCUGACCUGAGCCAGGAGGCGGCCAGGAAACUGGAUUUUGGGACUGGGAUUUCAGAGAGGAAGCUGGAGAGCUGCAGGGUGGUCAUCUGUCACUUUAUUUUGCCCGUCUUGUAGCAUGUGGGUCUUUCGCAGCAGGAAGUGUGUUUUACAACCAGAGCCCCCGCCCUCCUGCAGCGCAGGCGCAGCUGGCUGGGCUCCUGCUUCCCACUCUCCACCUCAUCCAUAUUUGUCCUCGUCCCUGCCAGUCUCGAAAAGGCACUCUGUCACGUGUACACAGGAAAGGGCCCUGACAAGAGGAUGGGACUGCAGUUGUGGCUGCCAGGUUGGAGUGCAGUGGCACGAUCUCGGCUCAGUGCAACCUCCGCCUCCUGAGUUCAAGUGAUUCUCCUGCCUCAGCCUCCCUAGUAGCUGGGAUUACAGGACAAGGAGAGGGACAAAUUCCUUCUUGGCAUCCUUAUGGCCCUGUGACCUGCUAAUGAAUGCUGACUCUGAGUUGCUACUAGAAUUUGGUUUCCUUGUGGCUUCCCAGGAAUUGUGAGCCAUGUUGGAUAAGGACCUGCAAGGGAAGAAUGAGGAAGCCUGGGACAGUGCAGGAGGGGAGAGCACUGGUGGUAGAGAGGAGUGAUGACAAGGGUCUCCGCCAAAAGGGAAAUGGAGGGGUUAAAGAAGCUGCUGGGGAGGGUUAAAAACAAUGUGUUCUCACUCGUAGGUGGGAAUUGAACAAUGAGAACACUUGGACACAGGAAGGGGAACAUCACACACUGGGGCCUGUCGUGGGGUGUGGGGAGGGAGGAGGGAUAGCAUUAGGAGAUAUACCUAAUGUAAAUGAUGAGUUAAUGGGUGCAGCACACCAACAUGGCACAUGUAUACCUAUGUAACAAACCUGCACAUUGUGUACAUGUACCCUAGAACUUAAAGUAUAAUUAAAAAACAAAACAAAACAAAACAAAAACAAUGAGGUGCUAUUGUUUUAGUGGUGAGUAUCCGGAGACCUGGGAGUUCUAUUUACCAGGUAUAACCUGGGCUCAAAAUUCCAGGCUGACUUCAGGCAUGUCCUCAUCUCAUAGAUGCCAGCACUAAGGCCCAGAGAGGGCCGAGCUCAUUCAGCCCACCCAUCUUCUCACCCCUGACUGCAUUUCCCGGGGGUCCUUCUGCAGCCAGGUGCUGCUGUGGUACUUUGGGAUCUAUUGGCUGAGCUCCCAGAGAAGGGUCAUGGAUUGGGCUAGUUUGGAACAAGUGAAGGGACUGAAGAUGGGCUCAGUAUGGGGCGAAGACCUUCAGGAAGGGUCUGCAGAGUGAGUAGGGGGGUUUUGACUAGGAAAAGUUCCAACCCUGCCGGGGCCGCUGUCAAGAGAAAAGCAUCUAUUACAGUUACAUUUUUAAGUUAAGUAGACUGAAGAAUAUUUCUUGUGUAUUAAAGACGUUCCUUUUUGGUUGAUUUGCAAUGGAAAAGCUUUUGUUUUCUUUUUUUUUUUGGAAACAGGGUCUCACUCUGCUCACUCUGUCUCCCAAGCUGGAGUGCAGUGGUACAGUCACGGCUCACUGCAGCCUCCACUUCCUGGACUCAAGUGAUCUUCUCACUUCAGCCUUCUGAGUAGCUGGGACUACAGCCCCCUCUGCAGCUCUUCAUGGGGGUCCACUCAAGUCAGAAGCCACAUUUGGGUGUGAUUCAGAGAGCUGUUUAUGCAAAACCAGCUUUGUCACCAUCAGGCAAGGCACCUGAAUUCCCACCGCAGAGAGUGUUGUGGCCGUGAGGACUUUUCUGUCACCAGCCAUUUCCAGGUAGACCCAGUGUAAUCACAAGCAUCCUUGUAAGUGGCAAAGAGGCAGAGGAGACAGCGCCAGAGAGGCAGCUGCAUGAGAAGGAUCAAGAUGUUGCUGACUUUGAAGUUGGAAGAAGAAGGCCAUGAGCCUCAGUAUGUGGGCGGCUUCUAGAAGCUGGAAGGGGCAAGGAGAUGGAUUUGACCCUUCAGCCUCCAGGGGCAGCUGUACCUGCCAUCACUGAUUGUAGCCUGGUGAGGCCUGUUUUAGACUUCUGACCUGUAGAGCUGUAACAUAAUACAUUUGGGUUGUUUUCAACCACUAAGUUUGUGGUAAUUUGUUGUAGCAGCUGUAGAAAAUGAAUACAUAUGAAUCCUCUGGCAUUUGUUUGAGAUUUGCUCUAUGGCCUAGUAUGUGGUUGUAAAUGUUCCAUCUGUGCCUGAAAAAAUGUAUAUUUCUAAUUCAGUAGUCUCUGCUUUUUUUUUUUAUUUUGUACCCCAUCAAUAAAAUGAUUUUCAGCAUGUAUCCCCAAAUAAACAAUAUUUUAUUUAUUGAUUGAUUGAUAAACAGACAUGUUUAAUGAUAGCUUGCUUUUCACAGAGGUGACUUCGGAGACUUCUAAUCUAUAAUCCAGGAGUAUAUAACCAUGCAGCACAGACCAAUUAGUCACAUGUAAAAUAAACUAGAUUCUUACCAC
rnacentral:lncRNA from 1 species